UACGUAGGGGGCAAGCGUUGUCCGGAAUCAUUGGGCGUAAAGAGCUCGUAGGCGGCUCAGUAAGUCGGGUGUGAAACCCCCCAGGCUCAACCUGGGGACGCCACUCGAUACUGCUGUGGCUAGAGUCCAGUAGAGGAGUGUGGAAUUCCCGGUGUAGCGGUGAAAUGCGCAGAUAUCGAGAGGAACACCUGCGGCGAAGGCGGGUUGCUGGGCCGACACUGACGCUGAGGCGCGAAAGCCAGGGGAGCGAACGGG
rnacentral:rRNA from 1 species